rnacentral:miRNA from 1 species
AAAUUGCUACCAGGUUGGAUGU